CCUACGGGUGGCAGCAGUGAGGAAUAUUGGUCAAUGGGCGCGAUCCUGAACCAGCCAAGCCGCGUGAAGGAAGACGGCCCUAUGGGUUGUAAACCUCUUUUGUCGGGGAACAAAGCCCGGCACGUGUCCCUGACUGCGUGUAUCCGAUGAAAAAGCAUCGGCUAACUCCGUGCCAGCAGCCGCGGUAAUACGGAGGAUGCGAGCGUUAUCCGGAUUUAUUGGGUUUAAAGGGUGCGUAGGCGGUUCGUUAAGUCAGCGGUAAAAUUGUGGGGCUCAACCCCGUCGUGCCGUUGAAACUGGCAGACUUGAGUUGGCGUGAAGUAGGCGGAAUGCGUGGUGUAGCGGUGAAAUGCAUAGAUAUCGCGCAGAACUCCGAUUGCGAAGGCAGCGUACCGGCGCCAGACUGACGCUGAGGCACGAAAGCGUGGGGAUCGAACAGGAUUAGAUACCCGAGUAGUC
rnacentral:rRNA from 1 species